AUCCCGAGGAGAAGAAAUCAACCGAGAUUCCGGUAGUAGCGGCGAGCGAACCUGGAUUAGCCCUUAAGCACUCGGUGAAGUAGGUGAACAAGCUGGAAAGCUUGGCGAUACAGGGUGAUAGCCCCGUAACCGACGCUUCAUCGAGCGUGAAAUCGAGUAGGGCGGGACACGUGAUAUCCUGUCUGAAUAUGGGGGGACCAUCCUCCAAGGCUAAAUACUCCUGACUGACCGAUAGUGAACCAGUACCGUGAGGGAAAGGCGAAAAGAACCCCUGUGAGGGGAGUGAAAUAGAACCUGAAACCGUGUACGUACAAGCAGUAGGAGCACCUUCGUGGUGUGACUGCGUACCUUUUGUAUAAUGGGUCAGCGACUUAUAUUCAGUGGCAAGGUUAACCGUAUAGGGGAGCCGUAGCGAAAGCGAGUCUUAACUGGGCGCUCAGUCUCUGGAUAUAGACCCGAAACCGGGUGAUCUAGCCAUGGGCAGGUUGAAGGUUGAGUAACAUCAACUGGAGGACCGAACCGACUAAUGUUGAAAAAUUAGCGGAUGACUUGUGGCUAGGGGUGAAAGGCCAAUCAAACUCGGAGAUAGCUGGUUCUCCCCGAAAGCUAUUUAGGUAGCGCCUCGGACGAAUACUACUGGGGGUAGAGCACUGUUAAGGCUAGGGGGUCAUCCCGACUUACCAACCCUUUGCAAACUCCGAAUACCAGUAAGUACUAUCCGGGAGACACACGGCGGGUGCUAACGUCCGUCGUGGAGAGGGAAACAACCCAGACCGCCAGCUAAGGUCCCAAAGUAUUGCUAAGUGGGAAACGAUGUGGGAAGGCUCAGACAGCUAGGAUGUUGGCUUAGAAGCAGCCAUCAUUUAAAGAAAGCGUAAUAGCUCACUAGUCGAGUCGGCCUGCGCGGAAGAUGUAACGGGGCUAAGCAAUACACCGAAGCUGCGGCAAUGUCUUUUAGACAUUGGGUAGGGGAGCGUUCUGUAAGCCGUUGAAGGUGAAUCGUAGGGUUUGCUGGAGGUAUCAGAAGUGCGAAUGCUGACAUGAGUAACGACAAAGGGGGUGAAAAACCUCCUCGCCGGAAGACCAAGGGUUCCUGUCCAACGUUAAUCGGGGCAGGGUGAGUCGACCCCUAAGGUGAGGCCGAAAGGCGUAAUCGAUGGGAAACGGGUUAAUAUUCCCGUACUUCUGACUAUUGCGAUGGGGGGACGGAGAAGGCUAGGUGGGCCAGGCGACGGUUGUCCUGGUUCAAGUGCGUAGGCUUGAGAGUUAGGUAAAUCCGGCUCUCUCUAAGGCUGAGACACGACGUCGAGCUACUACGGUAGUGAAGUCAUUGAUGCCAUGCUUCCAGGAAAAGCCUCUAAGCUUCAGAUAGUCAGGAAUCGUACCCCAAACCGACACAGGUGGUCGGGUAGAGAAUACCAAGGCGCUUGAGAGAACUCGGGUGAAGGAACUAGGCAAAAUGGUACCGUAACUUCGGGAGAAGGUACGCUCUUGAUGGUGAAGUCCCUCGCGGAUGGAGCUGACGAGAGUCGCAGAUACCAGGUGGCUGCAACUGUUUAUUAAAAACACAGCACUGUGCAAAAUCGCAAGAUGACGUAUACGGUGUGACGCCUGCCCGGUGCCGGAAGGUUAAUUGAUGGGGUUAGCGCAAGCGAAGCUCUUGAUCGAAGCCCCGGUAAACGGCGGCCGUAACUAUAACGGUCCUAAGGUAGCG
rnacentral:rRNA from 1 species